UACGGAGGGUGCAAGCGUUAUCCGGAUUCACUGGGUUUAAAGGGAGCGUAGGUGGGUUGGUAAGUCAGUGGUGAAAUCCCCGAGCUUAACUUGGGAACUGCCAUUGAUACUAUCAGUCUUGAAUACUGUGGAGGUUAGCGGAAUAUGUCAUGUAGCGGUGAAAUGCUUAGAUAUGACAUAGAACACCAAUUGCGAAGGCAGCUGGCUACACAAUUAUUGACACUGAGGCUCGAAAGCGUGGGGAGCAAACAGG
rnacentral:rRNA from 2 species